UAUCACUCUGCCCCACCUCCUACCCCCGCCUUCACUGCUUCCAUUUGAAAAAAAGCGGCGGGAGAUGAGUCCGAGAGUUAGGAGUAUUUAAUAUUUCAGGCCAACUGGUAAAAGAGUUGUCUGUACACUCUGUCAAACUUCACUUGGAAACACACAGGAGUUGUUCAAGACGUUUGGAGCGUUUUUUUUCUCUCCAUAUCUCCUCCGGGGCUCCAAAGAUGCGCUCACAGAAAAGGAAAAGACAACAAAGCAGUUCGCCGUCUUCACAACUCUGAGACACACUGUAGCAGGCGCUACGAACCGGAGCAAGGGCUAUGACCUAUAUUUGCUCGGGGCUGUCUGCGGGUCCAGAUUUACAUGACGCGGAUAAUGACGCCACUGUGUCUGCCUGUAAGACAUGACGAGACAGUACACAGGAGCUUCAGGUAGAAACAACCAGAUGUGGCAUCGCGGGCAGAAGCUGUGAAGAGUUCAGCUCGGAG